GAGUUUGAUCCUGGCUCAGGAUGAACGCUGGCGGUAUGCCUAACACAUGCAAGUCGGACGGACACCUUCGGGUGUCAGUGGCGGACGGGUGAGUAACGCGUAGGAAUCUACCCCUAGGAGGGGGAUAACAGCUGGAAACGGCUGCUAAUACCCCAUACAGGCGCGAGCUGAAAGGAGCAAUCCGCCUAGGGAUGAGCCUGCGUCGGAUUAGCUAGUUGGUGGGGUAAUGGCCUACCAAGGCGACGAUCCGUAGCGGGUCUGAGAGGAUGGCCCGCCACACUGGGACUGAGACACGGCCCAGACUCCUACGGGAGGCAGCAGUGGGGAAUUUUCCGCAAUGGGCGAAAGCCUGACGGAGCAAUACCGCGUGAGGGAGGAAGGCCUUCGGGUUGUAAACCUCUUUUCUGGGGGACGAAGGAGUGACGGUACCCCAGGAAUAAGCCUCGGCUAACUCUGUGCCAGCAGCCGCGGUAAGACAGAGGAGGCGAGCGUUAUCCGGAGUUAUUGGGCGUAAAGGGUACGUAGGCGGCUGGUCAAGUCUGGGGUUAAAGACCACAGCUUAACUGUGGGGGGGCCUUGGAAACUGACCGGCUGGAGUGGGGC
rnacentral:rRNA from 1 species